rnacentral:sRNA from 1 species
UAUGCUCUUCUCAGCAUCCACAGAUAAAACUGUGGCUGUGUGGGAUAGUGAAACAGGUGAGAGAGUUAAAAGGCUAAAGGGACAUACUUCCUUUGUGAAUUCCUGUUAUCCAGCCAGGAGAGGCCCUCAGCUUGUAUGCACUGGCAGUGAUGAUGGCACAGUUAAGCUUUGGGACAUCCGGAAGAAAGCAGCCAUCCAGACAUUUCAGAACACGUACCAGGUGUUAGCUGUGACCUUCAAUGACACAAGUGAUCAGAUUAUUUCUGGUGGAAUAGAUAAUGAUAUCAAGGUCUGGGACCUGCGCCAGAACAAGUUAACCUACACCAUGAGAGGCCAUGCAGAUUCAGUGACUGGCCUGAGUUUAAGUUCUGAAGGCUCUUAUCUUUUGUCCAAUGCAAUGGACAAUACAGGUAACUUUGGAAAGGAAAUCUCUCCCAGGAUCCAAGGAAAAAGUCAAAGAUUGCUCACAGAUUCCAUCAGACAAUUAGAAUGUGUUGUAAUGGGGAAAGCUUUAGGUGAGAUAGUCAAGAAUCUAGGACUGUAGUCUCAGAUCUCUGUCUUGUCCCUGAACAACUUUGCAC